rnacentral:misc_RNA from 1 species
CUGGAACUGGAAGAAUGAGGUACUUGCGCAAUGUUCCGCGUAGAUUCAAGAGCGGCUUCAGAGAUGGUACUGAAGCUGCACCCAGGAAUAAAGGAGCAGCAGCAUCAGCAUAAGUUUUUUGGAAGAAGUUCGACUUAAUUUCAGUACCCAACUAUAGUUUUCAGUAGGGUUUUUACUCAUCUGAGAAUCAUUUCAUAUAAUUUUGUUUUCUAGUUUUGCCUUUUCAUGAUUUAGUUGAACGUGGUUUCCUUAAAAUGUAUUGUUUGAAUUGUGG